AGCACUAAUACCGUCCUAUCUCCUCACACCAAAGAGUAUCCAAUUUUAGCGGGUUGUCUCUGACAAAACGCCGACGACGACGAGUAGUAUGCGCGUUUGCUCGGCCACUUUGCCCAAGGAGAGAAAUUCGAGACCUCGUCAAUAGCGAAGAAGAGAACCGAACGACGUCCACUUUCCGUCUGCGACGACGAACGAGAUAACCGAGACGAAUCGGAAAAGGAGAAGGAGGAGGAGGGCAAGAGAGAGGGAGGAUAAAGGAGAGGAAAGGAAGGGGAAGGUGGAGGAGGACAAGGAAGAGAAAGGAAAGAAAUG